rnacentral:rRNA from 1 species
GACGAACCGUGCGAACGUUGUUCGGAAUCACUGGGCUUAAAGGGCGCGUAGGUGGUCUGUCAAGUCGGGGGUGAAUCUUUCGGCUCAACCGGAAAACUGCCUUCGAUACUGACAGACUAGAGGGAGGUAGGGGUUGCGGGAACUACCAGUGGAGCGGUGAAAUGCGUUGAUAUUGGUAGGAACGCCGGUGGCGAAAGCGCGCAACUGGAUCUCUUCUGACACUGAGGCGCGAAAGCUAGGGGAGCAAACGGGAU